UUAACAACGAUAAACAUUGCUGAGACUUAGCAUGUGGUUUAACGACACAGCAUAAAUUAUUUCUGAUAAAGGGAUCUUCCCAUGGGUCUUACAUUACAGGUUGUUCUCAGAAAAAAAUGCCCAUGAAAAUUGUUUUUCUGAUGACGUAAAUCAACAGAACAUAAAACCAGCAUUAAAGGUGGAUUUUUACUUCAGUAUACUCAUACAGUUAGCACUGUUACUGAAGCGAACACAUGUUAUGAGUUUACAUCAAAGUAAAUUUUCACUGAAGUCUCCAGCAUACCCAUACUAUUUAUCUUCAUUCUUGUCACUUGCUAAACUGUUCUUCAUCUGUCUUUGUUUUUGAAGCCCCUAGAACUCAUCUAGCCACUAGGCUGCUACAUUUUUUGGCAAAGCACUCUUUUGUUCACCAUCCCAGGAUGUAACUUUAUCUCCAGUUUAUUUAUAUCACUCAAAAAAAAAAAAAAAAAGGAAAUUCUAAAGACACGUUACAAUUUUCAACAGCUUUUUCAUGCCAAAAAUUUAGAAAAGAUGUUAGUAUAGCUACAGUUACCUGUAUGAGACUCUAAGCUCAUGGCAUUUGCCUUAUGAAAAUAUAUACUGUCUCAAGUCUUCUACAAAAUUAUAGACACUCCAAAAUACCUGUCGCAUGCAUAUUGCAGUUACUGUUGCCUUAUAUACUUUGACAGUUUCACCAUCUUUUAUGGGAGGGAAUGAGUGACUUGGCAGCAGUAAUAUGCCAGUGGCAAGGACAGAUGGUCCCUUCUCAAGUUUCAUUUCCGAGGGCUGAGAGGUGUUUCCUUCUGAACAUGCAGCAGAAUGCUGUUGUUUAUGGCUGAGACCCAUUGGUCAGUAUGCAGUUUAGAGCAUGGUGGGAAGAUGGAUGGAAGCUGUCACAGCAUCUGCCGCUGGAGAUGAUGGGCUAUGGUGAUUACAAGAGCCGUUGGCACAGCAGGUAUAAAGAACAGCCCAGGCCUGGUCUCAGGACAUGUUAAGGAUGGAAUGGACCCAGAAUGUGCUUGUUUCAGGAAGAAUGCUUCCUCCUGGAGUAAAAUAGGCUUUCUUCUGUCUUGUAUUCAAGUAGCGUCUGAAUAUUUGUUUCAACGCUGUAGAGAAAGUGAGGUCUGCUUCGGAUCCAUCUUGCUACCUGAGUGUCCCUGCAAGGGAAGGGCUCGUAAGUGUUUGUACACGGACACCAGAGCUCACAGCCCACUCGUGCCAAGUCUGACCCGUGAAAAGAGAAAAGGAAUGGAGGUUGGUAUACAAAGCAUCUCUCCAGCUGGACCUGAGAGAAGUCAGAAAAGAUGAACCAUAAAUGAAAACAUCACAUGUUUUAUUGUAAACUUCCAUGAUUUGUGUGAAAGAGAGGAGUUGCUGUUUCAAUUGCUUUACAACGUUCUAUUCUGGGAGAUGGGAGACAGGUGUAAAUCAGGAAUAAGAGAAAAUCAACGGAGUCACACUUCUGCAUCAGAUCAGACUACAAAAAGAACAAGGUCCUGAGCUCAGAUGCAGUGGGAUGAUGUGAAGCAUGACAGCUACCAGGAGACAGAAGAAGGGUGCGUUGGCCUCACAUUCCUGUGUGAAUCACCAUGGCAUUUUUUCUUUCCAAAGUUUCAGCUGCAUGGAGGAAAAAUCAGUUCGAACAAGAGAGACAGAACUUACGUAUAUUCUUCCUGCCUGCACCAGAGCGAGGGGUGAAGACAGAGGAAUGUGGAGAGGAAGGGAACUGCAGUCUGCAUUUUAUCCAUGAGGGCCCAUCCCCACUGCAUGGGAAGCCAGCUGGCUCCUCGUGGGACUGAUCUUCAUUAAGCAGACUGUAUGUAUACAUCAUGUGAAACCAAGACAGAGUUUUUAGCUCCUUAAACUAUUCACCUUUAGCACUGGAGCUGAGGGAAAAUGCUUCUGACCAGGAGCCAAACUGGAGGCUAAAUUGGAACAAACGCAUCCUAAGAAAACUGCUCCUGGUGCAGCCCUGCUGGUAGGACACUGCAGAAACCUUAGCUGACUCCAGGCAGGUAACUUCUGAGGAAUCGAUUCUGCUGGUUUAUUUACAGGUUCUGCUUAAAUAUUUGCCUUACUGGGUGCGUGACAUCCGUUUAGGCAGAUUAACAAUUUGUAUUUGUUCUGCUCUAUGGUAUGUUGAUUUUCAAUAUUUGCUGUGGAAGAGUCUGGUUCCCCCUAUUAAUAUUUAAAAAUAAGGAUUUGCACUUCAGUUGCACUUGGGUAUUCCAAUGGCUUCUGCAGUUAUUAUAGACACUGGGCAGGAGUCAGGAAAGUCAGCAGAGAUGGGAACAGACCCUGACUGCUGUCUCUUCCCCCUAGCCCUGCUCUUCCAGAAAAAAGAGCAAAGGCAUUUGCUUUUUUAGAUUACUAAGACAGUGCUGGAAGGUUAUGUUUUUCAGGGGAACCAAACUCAUUUUUCUUGCCACUGGCUUUAUUCCUUCUUUUCUUCAUUGUAUGUCAUAAUUUUAUUCUUAUAUCAAAUUGAUUAUUCUGACUUCUUGGCAACUCCUGCUGUAGAGAGAUUCUUCUAACUCCCACGGAUCCUGUAACACUGAUCAAAAGUCAACACUUUUACUGCCUAUUGCCUCAAUAUCAACAAUGGGUGAGUAACAGUAGAGUAUUCCUAAUGGCAGACCAAAGAUGUGAAACAAGACAGAAACAAUACAUUAAUCAGCAGGUUGAACGAAUGCUUUAGUUAGGACCUGUUUUACCUUCUCCCACUGCUCACAGACAUGUAAUAGCAUACCAGAACUCCUGUGAAGGCAGUAGUUUGUGAAUCUGCACCUUGAUUUUUGCACACGUAGCUCCCUAGUUUUUUAAAAGCCCAGUGAUACGAAGACAGAAUUUGUGGGUUUUAAGCCCUGUAGUUUGCCUGCUUUUGGAAAAGUAACUCUGUUUGCAUGUAAAACAUCUCAGAUUUUGUGGAGCUGACAUUAAAAAGACCGUUGUUCAGCAGUAUAAAUAUAUGUCUAACCACCCUGGAUUAGUUAUGCUCUGAAUCAUGUCUCCUCACAUCCUAUGAUUCUUGUGCAUUUCCAAUUCACCCUGGUGCUAUGGGGAAAGUGAUGAAGCUAUUCUUUAACUCUUCAAAAUAAAGUGACAAUUGAAAGUAGUCAUUUUGUAAUCUGAUUGAAACACCUCCAACACAGAUCACUUUUAACCUGAGGCAGAUCCUACCUCUGUAUGACUGGUAAAAUAUGACUGUGGGUCUGGUGUUUUCCAGACCACCAUCAACCAAGAUCUGACUUAGCCUGUAUGGUCAUGGUUACAAUUGCCAGUGGUUUUAUGCAUUUUUCAUUUACUAAAUUGCAUCCUGAGCUUCUGAAAGCCCACCUCUCCCACUGCCAGUCUCCCUCUGCCAUCUCUUUCAUACUGUUCUUCAGUGUUUGUUCUUCUGGGCUUAGAUGUGCAGCUGUGCACAGGAAUCCACAGAGCAACAGUGCUUCACCGCUGAAGUAGCAGUCAAGUGCCAAGAACUUCCUUGUGAUAUGCAGAAAUCAGGGCAUUCUCUGGGUAGGAAAAGACCUCAAGCCAACCUUUAGCUGCAACAGUAUAAGCAAACAGCCCUUCCCAAAGGACGGCUACAGCUGUUCUUGCUGACAGAAUCCAGCUUCCAGCCAUGGCUGUUAAUGAACAAGUUCUUUGAAUAAGUCUUCUUUGCUUAUUUGUUCUAGGGAAAAUAUUUGUCACUGAAAUUCAAUGCAAGAUGUAAAAUUCUCUCUUAUGUAUCAUCAUUUCUCUUACUUCCAUCCCAGACCUAAUUUAGUGUCAUAUAAAUUAACGUAACUAGAACACAAGAAUCUACCCACUUGCCAUUUAGCUUAAACUGUGUGUUGACACAGACCAUUAGUGCUGUGUGCCAGACCUGAACCAGGAAAAAUGUCUGAAUCUUAAAUGUGGAUCAAGGACAUAAAUAUGCAGCCAAGGGUAUGAUUUGGUCAGCACUUUCCUGAAGGUCUGCUAAUACCUGUUCAUUAAGUCCUACCUGUUGUGAUAUCCAGUCCCAGUACAGUUAACGACAAGACGAUUACGAGUGCAAGGCAUGCACUAGAAGUAGUCACUGCUGAAGGUUUUACCACCCACACAAAACCCUACGCUUUCCCCAUUCUUCUGAAGUGCAAUAAUCGCUGGAGAGUCUGGAUCCUGUUAAGAGUCACUGUAAGUUUGAUUCCAGCAUCUCAUUUAUCAUUUCAUUUCCCAAGCAGUAUGCAUGACUGCACACUGGCUGACAGUCUUUAUAAGGUUCAUCCUGCUAAUCACAUGUAUUCUUCAGAAAGCAGUUCCCUGGAUUCUGCAAAAUCUCCAUGAUUUCUGCAAUUUUGGCAGACAAAACCUCCUUGGGUAGAAUGAUGAUCUCAGGCAGUUUCUCACAGACUGUCAGAGCGUAAAUGACAAAUGCGGGAGAUCUUAGGGCCCCAUCUUCCUGGCUAGCCUUCACGUUUGCAUCUACUUUUUGGCUUUGGUGAGGUUUUAAAAGUUCUCUCUCAGAUACACGAGAACAAUCUCAUGUAUUCUGUUUUUACUGUUCUGGUCAAGGCAUUUGGCUGAGAUCUGUUACACUGAAACCACUAUAAAUUUGCCAGUUUUUAAGGAUUUCAGGCACUUUGAGACAAAUUUUUCUCCUUCACGCUUUGGCUUAGUGCAUCCUUUCAUAAAAUCUUUCUGAUGAUCCAAAAGUAGCUCUGACUUUGCCAUUACCCAGGAGGUCUGGCAGAGCUAACCUUCUGGACUUCAAGGUAUAGAAAUUGAAAGGAAUAAAAACAACCUGAUUAUUUUGAUGUGGUAACAGAGGGAUAUUGUCAUUUCCCAGACCUGCAAGGAACACCAUUACAAACGAUCCAGUCAAGUUUUGCCAGAACCUGACUCCAUGACUCAGUUUCACCUGUAACAAGGGGUGAUUCAUUGCUGCUGGCAAAGCAGUUAAGUGACAACAGUUACUUCUGCAACGUAUGACAUUGGAAGCUGGAACUUUAUGUGUGAAAUCUUAUGUUACAAGAUCGGGAUGUUACAGCACAUCAGCAUGGCUGCUCUAACACUCCUGCUACUUACUGCACGCAGGUGUUAUUGGUACUUGUGGGUUGACCACAAGUUUGGUAUUGACCUCAGGUGGUGAGUGUUUGAAAAGUGGCAACACCCUUUAUGAGCACUGAAGGCCUAGCAAAUUAAUACAGAUGACAUAAAAAAAAAAAAUAAAUAAAUCAGGUUGUAGCAUCUCAAAGAAUGAUGACCUCAUAUUGUAUUCAACACCCUUUGGCUGUCCAGCUGAAAUAAUCUCAUACUUAUUACCAUGGUGUUAAUUUGGAACCAGCUUUGGAGAAAGCUUUAAUUUACACUUCUGGAGCUGCAAAUGUCCCAUAACCACACUGCACCUCUCAGCUCUAUUGCUGCAGUUUCAAACGCUUUUCUCCAUGAAAUGAGAAUCACUUUGGCAACUAUCACAGAUGAUAAAACUGUCCAGUUCAAUGCACCAGGAGCAGCAAUGGGGGCUCAAAUGCUUUGUCUCAUUUCCUACAGUUAGUGCUUACAGGUAAAAUUCUCUGUAAUUAAUGGUUUGCAAGCAUUUCUUCUGCUCUUUAGUAAGGGAGAUGUAACAACUUAGUUGUAUUUUUGACCAGGAAAGGUUACUGAACUACAAUUUCCUUCCAGCUAAUGUUGCAAAAUGAGCAGGAUGUGCAUUUGUUGACUUGAACGUCACUUUUCAUGGAAAUUUUUGAAGAACACUAUAGAAGUGUGUGAAAGGGGAUAGCAACAGAUUACACUUCCACUCAUAGCCCUCGUUAUUAAAUUAAUUAAUAAGGCUUAAACUUCAAGGAAUAGAACUGGAAAGAAGAAAAAAAAUGACUUCAGGAGUAUGUUUGUGCAGCCUCAUCCAAAUGUUUAGGCUUUUAUGCCCAGUUUAAGAUAGGGCUCAAUUUAUCAUCAUAAGCACAGCGUACUGAAAGGUCCACUCAAAAUGAAAAAGCUGAUAUUUUUUUUGCCCUGGCAUAAAUACUUCAGCCAUGAUAGAUAAGAAGAAGUCCAAAGCUUUGUGCCACGGUAGUUCUUAUUUUUCAAAUCAGUGCUUUGGGACACUGCUCAGUGUUUUUCUUCCUAAAGAACUUCUGAAAUAAAAAUUGUGUCAUCCCUUAAAAUCAACAUCGUGCAUUCUGAAAGGAACGCUUGUUGUCCCAUAUCAGCCAGUAUGUGUCCUACUCUUUUCACAAUCCACUCUGAAAGGAAAUGCCAAACAUUAUUGCAGUCAUUCACCAAAAGAAAUUCCGGAUGAAAAGCAUUUAUCUGUUGCAGAAAGAAUAAGAGUAAGUAAGGUUUUCAUAUUGAUUUUUGAGUAUGUGUCUGAGAAUGUGAUUUGAUGCCAGUACAAAGCAUGAGCAGGGUGGCACAAGUUAAGACAACUAAUGCAUCUCUUGCCUUCUGAAAACAAUCAAAAUUAUACUUUAUCGUUCAAGCAGAACAUUAAGGCAAGUCAUAUCAUACCAUGAUGAGUUCCUCCCACUCCUUUAUUAUCCUCUCCUUAUUUCUUCUCUGAAUCAAAGGUAUUUCCCAAUAAUCCACACCUACAAUACUGUUUUAUUAUGUUUUGGACAGAUUAAUCCAGAAAGGAACAGUAUUUCUCAUUAGCAUGCAGUCAAAUUAGGGUUUCUGUGAAGGACUUCUGGAACUUAUUUUGAGAUCUGGAAAUAAUAAGGGUUGAGAUUUCCGAGGUGCUCAUUAUUAUAGAGAGGUUUGUGUUUUGUUUUGCUUUUUUUUUCUCUCCCUGCUGUAGUGCAGUGCUGAUCAUUUUAUCUUUAGGGUGAUUCCUAUUUUUUGAUGGAGUCCCAUUUUAUCUUGUGGCUCGAUGACAGCGGAAGUGAAAUAACCAAGAAGGCAGUCCAAGAACUGUGCUGCAGCAGCGUGAACAAGAGAUCAGGGCUGAGGAAGGCAUAGGAAUAUCAUCUUUUGGCAUCCCCAAAGUUGUAUGCCUCAAACUACAUCUUAAGUGGCAGUAACGUGGCCUAGAAAAUUACUUACUGUAAUCCAUGGUAUGAGACAUCAGGCAUGCUGCACAGGCGGGCAGAUAGCAUCUGAAGGAUUAGCAACAAUUGCUCUAAAGCCUCAAAGAACUGAGGUGCCAUCAAGUAAGUGGUAAGACAGCAGAAUUAUAAGACAUCAUGACGUUUUUAUUGCAGCAGGAAAGCUACAUUUAUUGAGCCGUAUAUAUUAACAUGUAGAUCACCUCAUUUCUUGGCAAGUUCAGUCAUGUUAACUUUUCCUGCUAGCAGCCAUGGGCAUGAAUUAAGCAAGUGUUGGGCAUCUCUACAACUAUGCUCGAUCCCUUCACUCUGACAGAAACCAACGAGGACAUCAGGCACGCAGCACUGCUCAGGAAGCAGUCAGAUCACACUGUUAUUACUUCUCCUUUACAAAGACUAUCACAACUAUCACAUUACAGCCGGAGCACUGGGCCGCAUGUGGCUGCUGUAGGAGAAAAAGAAAACAAGCAGGCUGGAGGCAGAAGAGCAGUUGCGUAAGGCAAGCAACAGGUGCCUCACAUCCUUCAGAUCGUGAAUAUGUCUCCCAGUGAUGUUUAUCUGCAAAAGGCAGAGCAGCAAAAUUGCAUUUUGGCAGUUUUGCUGGGUCCUGUCCUCAGGCAGACGUGCCAGCCAUGGCUUGUUUCAAAGUGAAUCAUUCCUUGUGGGGACAUCCACCGGCCAUUGUCAUGUCAUUUUACUUCGAGAGAGGAACUUUGUAAUGUCUUCCAGCAAGACAAUAAAGCCAUACCACAUCCUGUUGCAA